AAACCAGCACCUCAAGUGGUCAGGAGGAUUAUUGGGCCUAAAGCAUCCGUAGCCUGCUCUGUAAGUUUUCGGUUAAAUCUGUACGCUCAACGUACAGGCUGUCGGGAAUACUGCAGAGCUAGGGAGUGGGAGAGGUAGACGGUACUCGGGAGGAAGUGGUAAAAUGCUUUGAUCUCUCGAUGACCACCUGUGGCGAAGGCGGUCUACCAGAACACGUCCGACGGUGAGGGAUGAAAGCUGGGGGAGCAAACCGGAUUAGAAACCCGAGUAGUCC
rnacentral:rRNA from 1 species